rnacentral:rRNA from 1 species
UGGGGAAUUUUGGACAAUGGGCGCAAGCCUGAUCCAGCCAUGCCGCGUGUCUGAAGAAGGCCUUCGGGUUGUAAAGGACUUUUGUCAGGGAAGAAAAGGCUGUUGCUAAUACCGACAGCUGAUGACGGUACCUGAAGAAUAAGCACCGGCUAACUACGUGCCAGCAGCCGCGGUAAUACGUAGGGUGCGAGCGUUAAUCGGAAUUACUGGGCGUAAAGCGAGCGCAGACGGUUACUUAAGCAGGAUGUGAAAUCCCCGGGCUCAACCUGGGAACUGCGUUCUGAACUGGGUGACUAGAGUGUGUCAGAGGGAGGUAGAAUUCCACGUGUAGCAGUGAAAUGCGUAGAGAUGUGGAGGAAUACCGAUGGCGAAGGCAGCCUCCUGGGAUAACACUGACGUUCAUGCUCGAAAGCGUGGGUAGCAAACGGGAUUAGAUACCCUGGUAGUCCACGCCCUAAACGAUGUCAAUUAGCUGUUGGGCAACUUGAUUGCUUAGUAGCGUAGCUAACGCGUGAAAUUGACCGCCUGGGGAGUACGGUCGCAAGAUUA